rnacentral:rRNA from 1 species
CGUAGGAUCCGAGCGUUGUCCGGAUUUACUGGGUGUAAAGGGUGCGCAGGCGGACUGGUAAGUCAGUGGCGAAAUCUCGUCGCUUAACGACGAAACUGCCUUUGAUACUAUCAGUCUUGAGUCCGGUAGAGAUCUGUGGAAUUCCGAGUGUAGCAGUGAAAUGUGUAGAUAUUCGGAAGAACACCAGUGGCGAAGGCAGCAGAUUGGGCCGGUACUGACGCUCAUGCACGAAAGCGUGGGGAUCAAACAGGAUUAGAUACCCUGGUAGUCCACGCCCUAAACGAUGUACACUUGAUGUCGGCCUGUAAGGGUCGGUGUCGGAGCUAACGCGUUAAGUGUACCACCUGGGGAGUACGCUCGCAAGGGUG